AUGGAGGCGUUGCUGACCAGUCCGCACGACAUCGGCAAAGGCCUGGUCCUCCAGGGACACCGUCACCGUCUUCAUCUGGAACUCCUGGGCCAGGGCCAACAGCAGCUCCGCCUCAUUCAGGAUGAGCCUGUUUUGGGUUCGGCUGAAGACCAAGAUGUACUCCUCCCCGAGGGGAGCGCCCGCCUGGCUCACGUUCAGCUUCUCCAUCAUGAACCGGGCGAACUGCCGGAUCUCGUUGCCGGAGACGAGGAUGUUAGCCUUGGGGCCCUGCGGCUGCACGAAGCCGUACUGGUACCAGGUGGUGACCUUGGAGAGGCCCACGAAGGCGUGGGAGAAGCACAGCAGCCGGCCCAGCGUCUUCAGCUGCGCGCGCAGGAGCGGCUGCUUAGGGCUGAGGAGCUUGUACAGGUCGAAGUGGGCGCCCUCGCUCCAGCCCUCCAUGAAGAAGAGGCGGGCCUCGUGGGCCAGGCCGGGGAACUGCCUCAGCGUGUAGAAGAGAGGCAGCAGGUCGUCGUGGAAGACGUGCAUCAGGUUGUCGGGGUUGAAGCGGUUGGCGACCAGGGCCACGUCGGGCACGAACACGGGCUUGGGCAGGAAGCGCAGGGCGGCGGCCGGCAGCUCCACGAAGUUGAAGUACUGGGUGUUGUGGUCCUCCACGGUGGACAGGUCGAGCAGGGCCGGCUGGAAGCGCCGGGAGCCCAGGUUGGGCAGCAUGACCGAGGCGUUGCCGUGGAAGAAGAUGAACUCCUCGGCCUCGUUGGAGUAGCAGAGCCACUUAAAGCGGCAGACGCGGUCGGUGUGCGUGCGGCCGGUGCACACCAUGUGCGUGCCGCCCUCGCUCAGGAGCUGCAGCGCCCGGGCGUAGUCGGCCCUGGGCGCGGGGCCGGGCGCGGGGGCCUGGCGGCCGGCGGCCACCUCCUCCUCCAGCGCCGCCGCAUGCUCCCGCAGCCGCACGUGCUUCCACAGGACGGCGGCCAGCACCGACACCAGGAGGGCGUUGAGCACCGCCGACAGGUGCAUCCUGCCGCCCUGGGCCCUAGCGACGGGACCGCCCCCGGACAGCGCCGCUGGCCCCGCGGCCUUCACCCAUCCCUGCGGGCGCCCCGCGGAACCGCAAGAGCCUGCGGGGGGAAGGAAAGGAAGAGGUCGGCACAGGGCGGUCCGCAGCCCCCGGAGCCCCGCAGCCCCCCGCAGCGCCCAUCCCUGCGCCCCUGCGCGUGUUCGCUCCUCCCGGCCCCGCUGCCUCCCCGGGCACUUCGGGCAGGGAGACGUCAGCAGAGAAAACCCAAUCAGAGGCUCGACAAGAGCUCAGUGACCGGCCUCACCCUCUUUACACCUACCUGCCAGGAGAAGAAUGUGCUCAGCCCCAAUUCCUGGUCCCGGGAGGAGCAAGGCAGGCGGGGAGGAGGGCUGCUCCAGCCAAGCCCAGGUCUAGCUCGGAGCGCCCCCGCCCCCGCCCCCGGCCCCAUCCCCCAGGGUGUGAGUGAACCCAACACCCAGACAUCUGGGCUGUGUAAGUGCUUACGUCACUCAAAUCCCGUGGCUGUUUGUUAUGAAGCAGCUGCUACAGCAAAAGCUAACCAACGGAGGACCCAUGAUGACAGGCACAGGGCAAAUCCCUGCUACUGCAAGGCAACGGCCUCUCCGUACAGGGGCACAGACCGACCGAAGGCCUGUGAGCGCUGUCUCCAGGCUGUACACCAGGACCCCAGUGUCCCCUUCUGA
rnacentral:lncRNA from 1 species